rnacentral:rRNA from 1 species
ACAUUUUUUUAUGCUUAUUUAUAAGGUAUUAUCCUGCCCUAUGAUUAAUUUUAAAUGGCUGCAGUAUUCUGACUGUGCAAAGGUAGCAUAAUAAUUAGUCUCUUAAUUAGGGACUUGUAUGAAUGGGUUUAUGAGAUAUUUAUUUUAUUAUAUUUAUAAUUUGAAUUUAAUUUUUUUGUUAAAAAGCUUAAUUUUGUUUUUGGGACGAUAAGACCCUAUAGAACUUAAAUUUUUAAUUUUGCUUUUUAUUUUGUUUUUUUAUUAAAAAUAAUUUUUAUAAAUUUUUACUGGGGUGGUAAAUAAAUUUAAACUUUAUUUUUUAUUUUCAUAUUUAUAUGUUUUUUUUGAUCCUAUUAGAUUAUAAGAUUAAGUUACCUUAGGGAUAACAGCGUAAUUUUAAUGGAAAGUUCAUAUUUAUAUUAAAGUUUGCGACCUCGAUGUUGAAUUAAGAUUAAGCUAGGGGGUAGGUUCUUUAGUUUUAAGUCUGUUCGACUUUUAAAUUCUUACAUGAUCUG